rnacentral:rRNA from 1 species
CGAGCGCAGUGACUGGGGCGAAGUCGUAACAAGGUAGCCGUAGGGGAACCUGCGGCUGGAUCACCUCCUUA